rnacentral:rRNA from 1 species
UACGGAGGGCGCUAGCGUUGUUCGGAAUUACUGGGCGUAAAGCGCACGUAGGCGGCUAUUCAAGUCGGGGGUGAAAGCCCGGGGCUCAACCCCGGAACAGCCCUCGAAACUAGAUAGCUAGAAUCUUGGAGAGGCGAGUGGAAUUCCGAGUGUAGAGGUGAAAUUCGUAGAUAUUCGGAAGAACACCAGUGGCGAAGGCGACUCGCUGGACAAGUAUUGACGCUGAGGUGCGAAAGCGUGGGGAGCAAACAGG